rnacentral:rRNA from 1 species
AAGCCAGACUCCUACGGGAGGCAGCAGUGGGGGAUAUUGCACAAUGGGGGGAACCCUGAUGCAGCGAAGCCGCGUGGGUGAAGGAGCGUUUCGGCGCGUAAAGCCCUAUCGGCAGGGAAGAAGGAGGACGGUACCUGACUAAGAAGCCCCGGCUAACUACGUGCCAGCAGCCGCGGUAAUACGUAGGGGGCAAGCGUUAUCCGGAUUUACUGGGUGUAAAGGGGGCGCAGACGGCAGCGCAAGCCAGGAGUGAAAGCCCGGGGCCCAACCCCGGGACUGCUCUUGGAACUGCGCGGCUGGAGUGCAGGAGGGGCAGGCGGAAUUCCUGGUGUAGCGGUGAAAUGCGUAGAUAUCAGGAGGAACACCGGUGGCGAAGGCGGCCUGCUGGACUGCGACUGACGUUGAGGCCCGAAAGCGUGGGGAGCAAACAGGAUUAGAUACCCCCGUA